AUGUACAACCCUACAACAUAACAUUAAUGCACAAGAUCCCAUUAGAACUCCACAGUUAAGCACGCUCAUGCUAUAGUAGUACUGGGAUGGGUGACCGCCUGGGAAGUCCUAGUGUUUUACAUG
rnacentral:rRNA from 1 species